CAGCCCUCGGUUGGAGAUGGCCUUACGAAUCACUCAAUAGAUUUGUUCAUUGGCCCUAAACUUUUAGUAAACAAAUUAGGCAACUCUAAUUAACAAUUGCUAAUCAAACUGCAAAAACAACAUAUUGAGCUUCAACUGUGUUCAAACAUUUGAAUCAACAUAUUUAAAGGUCUAGAUAUGCAUUAUUAACCAAAGGCAUCCAUUACAUUUUAGUAAAAAUUUCCCUAAUGGACUGCAAUUCAGAUACAAUUUGAAAGAUCAAAUUCAAACAUUGAAGCAUUCAAGCACUCAAGCACUUAAGCAAUUUAGAUUAUGCUUGAAAGAUGAAAUUCACACACUAAAACCACUCUACAACAUAUUCACACGAGUUACAGUAGGAACUUACGAAUCAAAACUUUACCGCAGCCAAACGCUAGGCCCUUUCCAUUAGUUAAGUAGAUUUUACGUAGCUGCAUUAACAUUGAAAUAAGGGAAAUAAAUCAGUAAUCUUAAUUUUUUUUAAGGAACUCAAAAAUAUUUCCCAACUUGCUUGUUUUCCUUGCAUUAAAAAUUAUAAGCACAUAGGACAAUGGAUAUUUCCCAACAAAUAAUGCAAAAAACCAAUAAUAAAGAUUUUUAAAUCAAUUUUGUGGUUAUUGUGUAUAGCAAUUGCAUUAGAAAACCAAACCUUGAAUAUCAUAUAGUGAACAUGGCUCUGCGAGUAGCCCACUGUAAGCACGAUGGAACUCUGAUGUGACUGUCCCAUCAUGCCACCUAUAGAAAAUACCAAUUGAUAAAGAGUCAAUAUUCGAUAAGUUUAUCUCACAAUUAUGUGAUUUAAAUUGAUUCUUUUCAUAUGGUUCAUCACAUAAGGGGUUAUUGAGAAAUCCAAGCAACUAAGCUAUUGGUAGGAUUCAGAGAUAAAUCUCGAAACAGUAUGCGAUUCAAUGACAACUGAAAGGGCUGAAAGGGAAGUAGAGGUACUGGUGAUAUUAGGAUACAAUAAGAAUAGCAUUGAAAUGCUUAGCUUUAGUCUUAACACAUUUUUCUUCUUUAGAGAAAAGAGGCAGGGGAAAGCAAUAGGAACAGUCUGACAGGAUUUUCUAUAAACAAGAUUUGUGAAUGAAUGUUUGGUUGGGCCACUUCACAACAGUUGUUCACUAUCACUCUAGGUUCUAAAAGUUCUAUACAUACAUACACACACACACACACACACACACACACACACACACACACACACAUACCAAUAUUAUUGCUUUAAAUAACUAUUAAUUAAGAAGAUACGAAUAUUAGUAAUGUUGGAGAUCAAACUCCCAACAACUCAAAUAGGUGAAAGAAAGAGGAAGCAAUAUGGGUCAUACAUGAAUAUGUACAGUUUUCCUUCUUCAACUAAAGCAUUUAAAUUCCUCUAAUCUUCACCCUUUAUAACCAUAAAAACAACAAUUCCAGAUUUUGUGUCACGCUUCGAUUCCAACAUACGUCCAAGAUCGACACGCGCCGGAAGACUGUAGGGGGAUGCCAGGAAAUACAAACUGAAAAUAACAAUAAUCACAUAUGUUUAAGGAAAAGUAUAAGGGUAACCUAACACUCCAAGCUCUCAGAACUCUGUCUGCUACCCCAAAGCUUCUCGUAUCUAAUAAUACCUGCACAAUCACCCCAACACCAUCGGAAUGGUGCACCGGGCAAACAACAAUCUGGAUAAGCCGCAAAACUCAUGUGAGUGACAAUAAUUCUACGUAUGUGAUAAUAUUAAAAAUCAACCAUCGAUUCGGUUUAUAAACGUCAAAUAUAAAUUAUAUUUUAUAAAAUUAUAAUCACGUCACUGAAAAUCCCGAAGGAGUCACCCAGACAUCCAACUACUCGUCUGAAACAAAUCACAAAGGCUCACAACCAAAAACUCAUACAACAUAAUGAAAAGAAGGGCUAGAGCGACACAGUUCAGCCGAAACCUACAUCUCUGAAGUUAUUUCAAUCAAACUCAAUCCAAAGAAUCAACAAAGCAAUUAAUCGGGUUCCAGACCUCUCAACGGAACCAUAACAUCAAUCGGGAUUCCGGACCACUUAACGAAAUCCAACCAAGAUACGAUUCUGAACCACUCAACAGAAUCGCGGAGUAGAAGGGAUUCCUGGCCUCUUAACGGAAUCCGAGUGGAUAUGAUUCCGGAUCUCUCAACGGAAUUGUGGAGUACAAUGGAUAUCAGACCACUCAAUGAAAUCCAAGCUGGAUACGAUUCCGGACCACUCAACGGAGUCGUAGAGUACUGAUGCGAGAAUUACUUGACACACAAAUUAAACCCUCUUUUUGACAAUUGUAGUAUAGAUGUAAGUAGGGUAUCGUUCUAGGCCGGGGAUUAGGAGGGCUUGCUAAUAACCUCUCACUUGACUAAAAAAUAUAAGAAGAAACUUAAAAACACAAAAGUAGGCUUUAAAACACUAAACUAGACUCAAAGAGUUCAAAACAAACUUAAGCACACUUUGAUACAAGAAAAUAAAUGGGGGGUAUUGGUUUUGGUUGUGAUUGAGAUAAAAAGUAAAACUAAAUAUAUGGUUGAUGGAUUAGCUAGAGAUCCAUUCUUCACACAUGACACACUUGAACAUGAAUUGAUUUUCAGUUGCUUUUCGAUAAGCUAUUAAUACUCAAUGCCCCAAAUUAACCGUGAAUUGCACUAAUUAACCCUCAGUUUUUCCACAAGUUAUUGCGUUGGAUGAUUGCAUACGACAACCCAAAACAUUCCCUACAAGUUCCCUACAUGAGUUGCAUAAUAGAGAUACAAACAAGAAUCAUUAAGUUCUAUGAAAAACAUAAGCAUUGACGAGACACUCGUUACUAUGAUUUGCAUGAAACU
rnacentral:lncRNA from 1 species